rnacentral:lncRNA from 1 species
CCACACCCAAAAGCCAAGCUUCACCGUCUUCUUCACGAAAGAACCAAAGGAAAAUCCCUAGACUCCAUUGAAGCUCCCAGUCGCACUUCCCCAAAAUGAUCAUCCAUCAGACGAUCUUCUUCAGGACUCAAAAUAGAGAAGCAACGACAACUUCUUUUCUGCCUUGAACAUCCUUCACUAGACCGAAAAACACAGCCACACUCACACCCCGCGAUACUCACCCACACCCAGCGAUAUUCCUCUAAUUCCAGCCUCGAGUUGAAUCAGUUCAGGUCGCCGAUUCUGGUCCAGAUGCCUACUGUAGCUCGCUCGAGAACUUUGCUAUUUUAGAGCUCUAUUUUCAUUGUAUUUGCUCCAGAAUUUAGAUAAUAGAAGGUUAGCUGUUUUUCAGUUUUCUCGAUUUUCGGAUCUGAAAUCUGUGUAUAAGCUUGAUUUGUUUAUUUGGUUUUCUCUAUUUUUACUCGCUGCUUAAUGUUGCGAGUAUUUCUGUGGUGGUAUCAUAAGAGAGGAAUAAGAUCUUCGUAUCAAUGGUGAGUACGGAGAUAAGGGACUGAACUCUCGUGGAGAUAGGGAACCUAUUAUUGCAGAAGGGAUAAGAAACAAUUAUUUUGGUGAUGUUAACUGCAGAGAUGUAGGAAGGGAGAUGUAGGAAGAAGACUAUAUAAUUAUCCUAGAAUUGUUGACUAUUUUUUUUUACUUCAGCUGAUUUUGAACAAGUAGCCGCUUUAUGUUCUUUUGUAUUUACAACGUGACAAUUGAUUUGCACAAAAGUAUACUGAAAUGGACAUGAUAGGAGAAACAUUAGGAAGCUUUUCUCGUUUCUUUUAGAAGGAUGAAUUAGACAGAGCAUUAAUUUAUCUCUUAGUCUUUUUUUCAUUCCAAAUAAUACAAACCAAAGAGAAACGUAUAUGUUCAUUUCAGUUUCGGAUUUGUGGGUCUUAAAAUAGAUUUCUCCUUAAGUAUUGGAAUUGGGUUUGAACCUGAUUGAGGUGUAGGCUGUUCGGAGUCGACUCAUGGUUCCGUUCGCGAUUCGUUACAUUUUGAGUUUAAAACAGUGAAUGAAUCAACUUUCUAAUUAUAU